rnacentral:rRNA from 1 species
AUUGAACGCUGGCGGCAGGCCUAACACAUGCAAGUCGAACGAGUGGCGGACGGGUGAGUAAUGUCUGGGAAACUGCCUGAUGGAGGGGGCUAACUACUGGAAACGGUAGCUAAUAACGCAUACCAUCGGAGGUGCCCAGAUGGGAUUAGCUAGUAGGUGGGGUAAAGGCUCACCUAGGAGACGAUCCCUAGCUGGUCUGAGAGGAUGACCAGCCACACUGGAACUGAGACACGGUCCAGACUCAUACGGGAGGCCACAGUGGGGAAUAUUGAACAAUGGGGGCAAGCCUGAUGCAGCAAUGCCGCGUGUAUGAAGAAGGCCUUCGGGUUGUAAAGUACUUUAAGCGGGGAGGCGUUACCCGCAGAAGAAGCACCGGCUAACUCCGUGCCAGCAGCCGCGGUAAUUC